UACAGAGGGGCAAGCGUUAUUCGGAAUUAUUGGGCGUAAAGGGCGCGUAGGCGGCCACCGCAAGUCGACUGUGAAAUCUCCGGGCUUAACCCGGAAAGGUCAGCCGAUACUGCGGGGCUAGAGUGCAGAAGGGGCAACUGGAAUUCUCGGUGUAGCGGUGAAAUGCGUAGAUAUCUGGAGGAACACCGGUGGCGAAGGCGGCUCACUGGCCCGGUACUGACGCUGAGGUGCGAAAGCGUGGGGAGCGAACGAGG
rnacentral:rRNA from 1 species